ACCUGGCUGGCUUAGUCAGUAGAGCGUGCGAUUCUUGAUCUCAGGGUUGUGAGCUCAAGCCUCAUGCUGGGUG
rnacentral:tRNA from 1 species